UAGAAUUAAGCCUAUCAGUGGAUGGCUCGGUUCGAGAGCCGAUGAAGGGCGUGCCAAGCUGCGAUAAG
rnacentral:rRNA from 1 species